rnacentral:rRNA from 1 species
GACGAACGCUGGCGGCGUGCUUAACACAUGCAAGUCGAACGGUAAGGCCCUUCGGGUACGACGAGUGGCGAACGGGUGGAGUAACACGUGGGUGAUCUGCCCUGCACUUCGGGAUAAGCCUGGGAAACUGGGUCUAAUACCGGAUAGGACUCCUGGCUUCAUGGUUGGGGGUGUAAAGCUUUUGCGGUGUGGGAUGGGCCCGCGGCCUAUCAGCUUGUUGGUGGGGUAAUGGCCUACCAAGGCGACGACGGGUAGGCCGGCCUGAGAGGGUGACCGGCCACACUGGGACUGAGAUACGGCCCAGACUCCUACGGGAGGCAGCAGUGGGGAAUAUUGCACAAUGGGCGCAAGCCUGAUGCAGCGACGCCGCGUGAGGGGAUGACGGCCUUCGGGUU